CCUACGGGAGGCAGCAGUAGGGAAUCUUCCACAAUGGGCGAAAGCCUGAUGGAGCAACGCCGCGUGGGUGAAGAAGGUCUUCGGAUCGUAAAACCCUGUUGUUAGAGAAGAAAGUGCGUGAGAGUAACUGUUCACGUUUCGACGGUAUCUAACCAGAAAGCCACGGCUAACUACGUGCCAGCAGCCGCGGUAAUACGUAGGUGGCAAGCGUUAUCCGGAUUUAUUGGGCGUAAAGGGAACGCAGGCGGUCUUUUAAGUCUGAUGUGAAAGCCUUCGGCUUAACCGGAGUAGUGCAUUGGAAACUGGGAGACGUGAGUGCAGAGGAGGAGAGUGGAACUCGAUGUGUAGCGGUGAAAUGCGUAGAUAUAUGGAAGAACACCAGUGGCGAAAGCGGCUCUCUGGUCUGUAACUGACGCUGAGGUUCGAAAGCGUGGGUAGCAAACAGGAUUAGAUACCCUUGUAGUC
rnacentral:rRNA from 1 species